rnacentral:misc_RNA from 1 species
AGUCGUAACAAGGUCUCCGUUGGUGAACCAGCGAGGUUAUCAGAGUUUACUCUUAACCUCCCAAACCCCAUGUGAACAUACCUUACGUUGCCUCGGCAGGUCGCGUCGUACCCGGGAGGGCCCUACCUGUAGGGCCCGACCUGGUGCGCGCGGGCAACCCUGCCGGCGGCCCCUGAAACUCUGUUUUUAUAUUAGAAUUCUGAAUCUAUAACUAAUAAGUUAAA